UACGAAGGGGGCUAGCGUUGCUCGGAAUGACUGGGCGUAAAGGGCGCGUAGGCGGUUCGUACAGUCAGACGUGAAAUUCCCGGGCUCAACCUGGGGGCUGCGUUUGAUACGUGCGGGCUUGAGUUCGGAAGAGGGUCGUGGAAUUCCCAGUGUAGAGGUGAAAUGCGCAGAUAUCAGGAGGAACACCGGUGGCGAAGGCGGCUCACUGGGCCGGUCCUGACGCUCAGGCGCGAAAGCGUGGGGAGCGAUCCGG
rnacentral:rRNA from 1 species